rnacentral:rRNA from 1 species
GGACCUACGGGACGCAGCAGUGGGGAAUAUUGCACAAUGGGGGGAACCCUGAUGCAGCGACGCCGCGUGGGUGAAGAAGUCAUUCGUGACGUAAAGCCCUCUCAGCAGGGAAGAAAAUGACGGUACCUGACUAAGAAGCCCCGGCUAACUACGUGCCAGCAGCCGCGGUAAUACGUAGGGGGCAAGCGUUAUCCGGAUUUACUGGGUGUAAAGGGAGCGUAGACGGCGGCGCAAGUCCGGAGUGAAAGCCCACGG